rnacentral:rRNA from 1 species
UACGUAGGGGGCGAGCGUUGUCCGGAUUUAUUGGGCGUAAAGAGCUCGUAGGCGGUCUGUCGCGUCGGAUGUGAAAACCCAGGGCUCAACUCUGGGCCUGCAUUCGAUACGGGCAGACUAGAGUACGGCAGGGGAGACUGGAAUUCCUGGUGUAGCGGUGAAAUGCGCAGAUAUCAGGAGGAACACCGGUGGCGAAGGCGGGUCUCUGGGCAGUAACUGACGCUGAGGAGCGAAAGCGUGGGGAGCGAACAGG